rnacentral:rRNA from 1 species
CAAAAACAUGUCCUUUUGUGAUUUAUUGAAGGUCUGACCUGCCCAGUGAUAAUUUUAACGGCCGCGGUAUAUUGACCGUGCAAAGGUAGCAUAAUCAUUAGUCUUUUAAUAGAGGGCUGGAAUGAAGGGUUUGACGAGGAAUUUACUGUCUCAUUUUAUUUGUUUUAAAAUUUAAUUUUUUAGUCAAAAAGCUAAAAUAUUAUUGGAAGACGAGAAGACCCUAUAGAGCUUUAUAUUAUGAUAUUAAAUAUUUUUAUAUUAAUGUAUUUAAGAUUUUGUUUUAUUGUGUUGGGGUGACAAAAAUAUAUAUAUAACUUUUUUAUUUAUUAACCAUUGAUUUAUGAUUAUUAGAUCCAUUAUUAUUGAUUACUAGAUUAAGUUACCUUAGGGAUAACAGCGUAAUUUCCCUCCAGAGUUCAUAUUUACAGGAUGAGUUUGCGACCUCGAUGUUGGAUUAAGAUAAUAAUUAGGUGUAGCCGCUUAAUUUAUGGGUCUGUUCGACCUUUAAAUUCUUACAUGAUCUGAG